rnacentral:rRNA from 1 species
UCGAACGGUGAAGCCCAGCUUGCUGGGUGGAUCAGUGGCGAACGGGUGAGUAACACGUGAGCAACCUGCCCUCCACUUCGGGAUAAGCCUUGGAAACGGGGUCUAAUACCGGAUAUGAGCACUCAUCGCAUGGUGGGUGUUGGAAAGUUUUUCGGUGGGGGAUGGGCUCGCGGCCUAUCAGCUUGUUGGUGGGGUGAUGGCCUACCAAGGCGUCGACGGGUAGCCGGCCUGAGAGGGCGACCGGCCACACUGGGACUGAGACACGGCCCAGACUCCUACGGGAGGCAGCAGUGGGGAAUAUUGCACAAUGGGCGCAAGCCUGAUGCAGCGACGCCGCGUGAGGGAUGACGGCCUUCGGGUUGUAAACCUCUUUCAGCAGGGAAGAAGCGCAAGUGACGGUACCUGCAGAAGAAGCGCCGGCUAACUACGUGCCAGCAGCCGCGGUAAUACGUAGGGCGCAAGCGUUGUCCGGAAUUAUUGGGCGUAAAGAGCUCGUAGGCGGUCUGUCGCGUCUGGUGUGAAAUCCCGAGGCUCAACCUCGGGCUUGCAUCGGGUACGGGCAGACUAGAGUGCGGUAGGGGAGACUGGAAUUCCUGGUGUAGCGGUGGAAUGCGCAGAUAUCAGGAGGAACACCGAUGGCGAAGGCAGGUCUCUGGGCCGCAACUGACGCUGAGGAGCGAAAGCAUGGGGAGCGAACAGGAUUAGAUACCCUGGUAGUCCAUGCCGUAAACGUUGGGCACUAGGUGUGGGGCUCAUUCCACGAGUUCCGUGCCGCAGCUAACGCAUUAAGUGCCCCGCCUGGGGAGUACGGCCGCAAGGCUAAAACUCAAAGGAAUUGACGGGGGCCC